CCUGUAUCAUAUGGUUUUUACUUACACGUAAAUUCCUGCUUUUCUUUGCUUCCGAUGCUCUUUGCUGUCCCCAGGGCUGAAUGCAGUCUGCUCUUGGGAAUCCAGCUGGACAUGAGGCAGACCUGCAUCUGUCCCAAGCUCUGCAGCACCAAUUGGGCUGAGCAAGUUCUCCCCACCCUUCCGCGGGCCCUUCGGCUACACGUGCGUGGCUUCACCUGCGGCAGCUCCCAGGACAGGCUGGCUCAGCUCCUGCGAGCAGAGGAUGGCAGUUCCUUCAGACAGGCACGUGGUGCAAUCAGUGGGUCUGCUCCAAAGCCCCGUGAAAGUGAAGAACGGGUCCCUUGCUGA
rnacentral:lncRNA from 1 species